ACUUUUAUAGCUUAUUUAAAGAGCGUAGUAUUGAAGAUACUAAGGAAAUAGUAUUAUUUAUAAGUA
rnacentral:tRNA from 1 species